GGACAAACUUCCACAGGGAGAAUGAUAGCAAAGAACUGUGGUAACACGAUACCAGCACCCGUUGUCUCCAAAACCAAUGCCAUGUUCGUCAGCUUCGUAACGGAUGGCACUACACAAGACAUGGGAUUCAGGGCCACUUAUACGGCCGAAAAAGUCUCUGUAUCCACACAAACUGUUUUGACGGAUCAGGCAUGUCAUGGAAGCACACCACUCGUUCUUAAUCAAACUAGCGGCUUUAUCUACUCCGAGAGAUUCACCCUGGGAAUGAACUACCCAGACAAUAUCAACUGUAGAUGGCACAUCAAGGCUCCAGCAGACAAAGUUAUUACCCUGCAAUUUAAUACUUUCUUCCUAGAGAAGGAUCGCAGCUGUCAGUACGAUAAUCUGCAGGUGCUUGAUGGACCCCUUGCCAGUUCUCCGCUCAUUGGUCGCUACUGUGGAGUCAUCUACCCACAGAAACUGACAUCGACAGGAACAGACCUGUAUCUGAGAUUUCAAACCGACGAAAGCGAAAAUGAGAUAGGAUUCAACAUCACAUACACAGUACAUGAUCCUAUACCAACUUGCGCCCCGAGUGAUUUCACGUGUAGUGAUGGUACGUGUAUUGAUAGGACAUCGGUGUGCGACGGGAUCAAAAAUUGUGCAAGCGGCAACGAUGAAGUUGUAUGUGCCUCGAACUGUGGAAUACCAGCCAUAUCACCGUCAUUGGGUAACUCUCGGAUCGUUGGAGGCAAAGAAGCAACCCCAGGAAGUUGGCCUUGGCAGGCCUCAAUUGUAUAUGGUUCCUUCAAGGACCAUAUGUGUGGCGGUACCCUAAUUUCAGACCAGUGGGUCGUGACAGCAGGGCAUUGCUUUGAAGAUGAUAGAUCCACGUCAAGCUGGCAUGUAGUUCUUGGAAAUCAUCACUUGAAUAGGCAUGAUUCGCAUCAAAUCGUCGUCGGAGUCUCCAAAGUUUUAGUCCACGAACGUUAUGACCAGGAUACUACGGAGAAUGACAUCACUCUCCUGAAAUUAGCAACUCCUGUGACGUUGAAUGAUUACGUCAAUAUUGUCUGUUUACCCAAACGAACAGUAUCGAGUGGCCAGCACUGUUAUAUUACGGGAUUUGGUGACACAAUGGGCACGUGUUGUCAUGACGUUUUGAAGCAAGCCGAAAUUCCUAUCAUUGAUGUGACGAGAUGCAAUUCUACCAGAUACACGGACGGACAAGUGUUCAACACAAAUAUAUGCGCUGGUUUGGACAAGGGAGGCAUUGAUACCUGUCAGGGAGACAGUGGUGGUCCCUUGGUUUGUAACAUUGACGGAAAAUGGCAGCUUGAAGGUGUGACGUCAUGGGGAGUGGGAUGCGCAGAUCCUAUGUCGCCAGGAGUAUAUACGAAAGUAUUUGAUUACGUGAAUUGGAUACAACAAACGAUUGUUCAAAAUUAAAACAAGAACAACUGAACAAUUUUAUUGUUUACGAUUUUUUGUAACUUAACAAUAGAGUGAAAAAGUACAUUGUGUUCUCUAAAUCGUCCUAAAAGUUAUUUUAAAGGUUUUAGAAUAAACAUUUUUACCUGU
rnacentral:misc_RNA from 1 species